rfam:Rhodnius prolixus Rhodnius_prolixus-3.0.3-9.67, whole genome shotgun sequence.
AACAGAUAUGGGGAUAUGGUGCCGGAGACAAUUGCCGGUAAAAUCGUCGGUGGUGUUUGCUCGCUAAGUGGAGUGCUUGUGAUUGCCUUGCCUGUACCAGUCAUCGUGUCCAAC